UACGGAGGAUGCAAGCGUUAUCCGGAUUUAUUGGGUUUAAAGGGUGCGUAGGCGGGUUAUCAAGUCAGCGGUGAAAUUUUUCGGCUUAACCGUAAAAUUGCCGUUGAAACUGGUGAUCUUGAGUGCGAGCGAGGUAGGCGGAAUGUGCCGUGUAGCGGUGAAAUGCAUAGAUAUGGCACAGAACUCCGAUUGCGAAGGCAGCUUACUAGUACGCUACUGACGCUGAUGCACGAAGGCGUGGGGAUCAAACAGGAUUAGAUACCCGGGUA
rnacentral:rRNA from 1 species